rnacentral:rRNA from 1 species
UGGGGAAUAUUGCACAAUGGGCGCAAGCCUGAUGCAGCCAUGCCGCGUGUAUGAAGAAGGCCUUCGGGUUGUAAUGUACUUUCAGCGGGGAGGAAGGGAGUAAAGUUAAUACCUUUGCUCAUUGACGUUACCCGCAGAAGAAGCACCGGCUAACUCCGUGCCAGCAGCCGCGGUAAUACGGAGGGUGCAAGCGUUAAUCGGAAUUACUGGGCGUAAAGCGCACGCAGGCGGUCUGUCAAGUCGGAUGUGAAAUCCCCGGGCUCAACCUGGGAACUGCAUUCGAAACUGGCAGGCUAGAGUCUUGUAGAGGGGGGUAGAAUUCCAGGUGUAGCGGUGAAAUGCGUAGAGAUCUGGAGGAAUACCGGUGGCGAAGGCGGCCCCCUGGACAAAGACUGACGCUCAGGUGCGAAAGCGUGGGGAGCAAACAGG